rnacentral:rRNA from 1 species
AUAUAUUAAAGGGCCGCGGUAAUUUAACCGUGCAAAGGUAGCAUAAUCACUAGUCUUUUAAAUGGAGGCUUGAAUGAACGGUUGAACAAAUAAAUAACUGUCUAUUUUUUAAAUUUUGAAUUUAACUUUUAAGUGAGAAGGCUUAAAUAUUUCAAAGGGACGAUAAGACCCUAUAAAUCAUUUUAUUGGGGCGAUAAAAGUAUAAAUUGUAACUGCUUAUAGGUAAAUACUUGUAUCUUUGUAAUGAUCCUUUAAAAGAUUAAAAGAUUAAGUUACUUUAGGGAUAACAGCGUUAUUUUUUUUGAAAGUUCUUAUUGAAAAAAAAGUUUGCGACCUCGAUGUUGAAUUAAAAUUUCUUUAUGGUGUAGCCGUUAUAAGAGAAGGUCUGUUCGACCUUUAAAUUUUU